AUUUAGGUAGCCUAGUGGACAUGCCAUCCGCCUGGUAAGCGGAACACUGGGUUUGAUUCACAUCCCUGGACA